AUUGAACGCUAGCGGGAUGCUUUACACAUGCAAGUCGAACGGCGGCGCGGACUUCGGUCUGGCGGCGAGUGGCGAACGGGUGAGUAAUGUAUCGGAACGUGCCCAGUAGCGGGGGAUAACUACACGAAAGCGUAGCUAAUACCGCAUACGCCCUACGGGGGAAAGCAGGGGAUCGUAAGACCUUGCACUAUUGGAGCGGCCGAUAUCGGAUUAGCUAGUUGGUGAGGUAACGGCUCACCAAGGCGACGAUCCGUAGCUGGUUUGAGAGGACGACCAGCCACACUGGGACUGAGACACGGCCCAGACUCCUACGGGAGGCAGCAGUGGGGAAUUUUGGACAAUGGGGGCAACCCUGAUCCAGCCAUCCCGCGUGUGCGAUGAAGGCCUUCGGGUUGUAAAGCACUUUUGGCAGGAAAGAAACGUCGCGGGCUAAUACCCCGUGGAACUGACGGUACCUGCAGAAUAAGCACCGGCUAACUACGUG
rnacentral:rRNA from 1 species